GAAGGAUCUCUUCCUAGAGAUUACUCCUUGUGGAGAAUAUUGCAAGCCUACAACAUUGGUCUUUAAGUUUUGUGUUCAGUGAGUUAGGGUUUGCUGAGUGUGAAAAUCCUCUGGAAAAGCUCAGAAGAGAGAGCAAUUGUGAAUGAUGGCAGCUUGCUGGGCUUAACCUGAUAAGCAGGUUAGCAGACAAGUUUCACAAGCCAGCCAAAUCACAUCUGUCCAAGUCCUCACCUCCAAAGACGGACCCUUUCCAGGU